GAUGCCGCGUGAGUGAUGAAGGCCUUAGGGUCGUAAAGCUCUUUCGCCUGUGAAGAUAAUGACGGUAGCAGGUAAAGAAACCCCGGCUAACUCCGUGCCAGCAGCCGCGGUAAUACGGAGGGGGUUAGCGUUGUUCGGAAUUACUGGGCGUAAAGCGCACGUAGGCGGACUAGUCAGUCAGAGGUGAAAUCCCAGGGCUCAACCCUGGAACUGCCUUUGAUACUGCUAGUCUUGAGUUCGAGAGAGGUAAGUGGAAUUCCGAGUGUAGAGGUGAAAUUCGUAGAUAUUCGGAGGAACACCAGUGGCGAAGGCGGCUUACUGGCUCGAUACUGACGCUGAGGUGCGAAAGUGUGGGGAGCAAACAGGAUUAGAUACCCUGGUAGUCCACACCGUAAACGAUGAAUGCCAGACGUCGGGUAGCAUGCUAUUCGGUGUCACACCUAACGGAUUAAGCAUUCCGCCUGGGGAGUACGGUCGCAAGAUUAAAACUCAAAGGAAAUUGA
rnacentral:rRNA from 1 species